CCUACGGGAGGCUGCAGUGAGGAAUAUUGGUCAAUGGGAGAGAUCCUGAACCAGCCAAGCCGCGUGAGGGAAGACGGCCCUAUGGGUUGUAAACCUCUUUUGUCGGAGAACAAAACCCGGGACGAGUCCCGGACUGCGUGUAUCCGAAGAAAAAGCAUCGGCUAACUCCGUGCCAGCAGCCGCGGUAAUACGGAGGAUGCGAGCGUUAUCCGGAUUUAUUGGGUUUAAGGGGUGCGUAGGCGGUCUGUUAAGUCAGCGGUAAAAUCCCGGGGCUCAACCCCGUCGAGCCGUUGAAACUGGCAGACUUGAGAUGGCGAGAGGUAGGCGGAAUGCGCGGUGUAGCGGUGAAAUGCAUAGAUA
rnacentral:rRNA from 1 species